rnacentral:misc_RNA from 1 species
AACGCACCUUGCGCUCCUUGGUAUUCCGAGGAGCAUGCCUGUUUGAGUGUCAUUAAUAUAUCAAUCUCUUCAGCUUUUGCUUGUUGAGUAUUGGAUGUGGGGGCCUUUUUUGCUGGUCUUUUAAAAGAGGUCAGCUCCCCUAAAAUGUAUUAGCGGAACAAUUUGUUGACCGUUCAUUAGUGUGAUAAUUAUCUACGCUAUUGACGUGAGGCAGUUCAGCUUCUAACAGUCCAUUAACUUGGACAGUUUUUCAUUAAUGUGACCUCAAAUCAGGUAGGACUACCCGCUGAACUUAA